UACGAGAGCCUCAAGCGUUAUCCGGAAUUAUUGGGCGUAAAGGGUGUGUAGGCGGUAAUGUUAGUCUCAUGUCAAAGCCUGUCGCCAAACGACAGAUCCGCAUGGGGAAACGGCAUAACUAGGAGGGUGCGAGAGGUGAAUGGAACUCACGGUGUAGGGGGUGAAAUCCGUUGAUAUCGUGGGGGAACGGCCCAAAAGCGAAGGCAAUUCACUGG
rnacentral:rRNA from 1 species